UCGUAACAAGGUCUCCGUUGGUGAACCAGCGGAGGGAUCAUUACAGAGUUACUACUCCAAACCCAUUGUGAACCUUACCUAUGUUCUGUUGCCUCGGCGGCGUGGUCAGCGCCCCUCUGAAAAGAGGACGAUGCCCUCCCGCCGGCAGCACCAAACUCUUUGAAUUUUACAGCGGAUUACAGUUCUGAUUUGAAAACAAAAAAACAAGUUAAAACUUUCAACAACGGAUCUCUUGGUUCUGGCAUCGAUGAAGAACGCAGCGAAAUGCGAUAAGUAAUGUGAAUUGCAGAAUUCAGUGAAUCAUCGAAUCUUUGAACGCACAUUGCGCCCGGCAGUAAUCUGCCGGGCAUGCCUGUCCGAGCGUCAUUUCAACCCUCGAACCUCCGUUUCCUCAGGGAAGCUCAGGGUCGGUGUUGGGGCGCUACGGCGAGUCUUCGCGACCCUCCGUAGGCCCUGAAAUACAGUGGCGGUCCCGCCGCGGUUGCCUUCUGCGUAGUAAGUCUCUUUUGCAAGCUCGCAUUGGGUCCCGGCGGAGGCCUGCCGUCAAACCACCUAUAACUCCAGAUGGUUUGACCUC
rnacentral:misc_RNA from 1 species